GGGUCAGUAGGUCGGUCGUGCCACUGGUAUGAACUGGUUUUACUGAUUCCUCCCUCAUGAAGAACUGUAAUGUCAUUUAUUUGAUGUUAUGGGGAAUUAGGACUGUUACCUUGAAAAAAUUAGAGUGUUUAAAGCAAGCUUACGCUUGAAUACAUUAGCAUGGAAUAAUGAAAUAGGACAUCAGAUUCUAUUUUGUUGGUUUCUAGGAUCGAUGUA
rnacentral:rRNA from 1 species